GGGCCUUCAGUUCAAGUUUAAACAUGCAGUUGGAACGUUUCUCAUAUGACAGCAGUGAAAAGGCACCACAUGUCCUGACUUCAGAGGGAGUCCGCUGUGAGCCAGCGUACAGACGGUAAGAGAGGAUUAAGGACACCCACCCUGGAUGAGGUCAGGUUCAGGUCCCCCCAGAUGACGAACCCUGCAGCUCCCAGAGCAGCACUCUCCCCAAUGGUGUGGAUCAAGUCUUUCUGCAGGAAACGCACAGGUUUGUGUUUAGAAGAUGGAGAUGAAAAACAGGAAACUGAGAGGACUGUGAAUUGCAGAUACUGAGGGUGUUUACUUCCUCGGCUGUCAAUCAUCAUAAUACGAUGAUAAUAACACCGACAGAGUCACGCUGUCAGAAUUACUCGGCUGAGUCUGCCUCGGCUUUGCCAAAGUCACUUUUACUCCUGAAGAGAUUUGAAGGCCGGAAAAUCUGGUUCAGACAUUCAUUGUCCACAGAGGAUGAUCCUAAUGACUCUGAAAAAGAUGGUGGCAAGUGGAAAACCCAAACUCCAGGCUUCAAAAUGUCCCUGCAGGAACUCGUCAGACUGUACAGAUGGAUUUUUCUACUGUAUUACCACACAACGGCGGCGCCGCUGAUUCAACAUGCUGAAUCGGCUGAAAAAACUCCAAUAUGGGCAGUCUAGCGCCAACGGUGCGGGACGCACCGCAAAAACUAGACCAACAGAUGCUCACCGACGGCCCCGAACUGUCCAACGACCGACCGUCAACUUGGUCCCUGGCUGCUCUCCGGGCAGAGAUGCCCCACUAUUGUUGGUUUGGCCCCUCCUCAUCUGUGCCCAACAGGACUCUCAAUUACUGGACCAAACAGCAGAUUAAGUCCUACACAGUGAACAGAAGCAGAACUACAAUCAUGUGGGUAUAAUUUAUAAAUGUUUUUAAUGGAGGAAAAGAGUUUUUUUCUUGACUUUAGACGUUGAUAUCUCCACAGUGGCUCAACAGAUUUUUACUAUUUGAAACGUCCACCUCCCUUCGUUCUUUUGCAAAACUGCGAAGAUAGCCCUUACCAAUCACUUAUGAGUCCUUAUGAGGGAUGAGUCCUAGCAAUGAAUAUGAUUUAAAUGCUAAUGCUAGUAUGGCAACAUACUAACAAUGACAAUGCUAACAUGGAGAUGUUUAGCAGAUAUAAUGUCUAACAUGAUCACUAUCUGAGUUUAUUACACGGCUUUGUUGAAUACUCGAUUCUGAUUGGUCAAGCACGUAACUACGGCCCUGCUUCCCAACACCGUGGUGACCCUGGGAAAGGUGUUGAGCUCCAGUCAAAUUUUUCACACCCGUCUGUCUCCUUCCAGCUGAGAAAACAUUAUUAUUAGUAUUAUUCAGACUGUCAGUACAGCCUCUCCUCUGCAUCAGCACCGCAGAAAUGUCCAGAAUCAUCAGUUUACGGCUGCACAAACAGGCGGACUCGACACCAAAGUUGACUUUAUAUUACACUUCCUAACAGGCCACAGUCCAGUAAUAUCACCUGAUCCUAACUGUGGAGUCGCUUACACAAACUGUAGAUGAAGUCAAAGAACAUUCAACUCAAGAGAAACAACUGAGCAGAUGGUAAAGAAAUCCCUUCAAACGUUUUUUGCCCUCAGUGGGUUCAAAGAGUGAACCCAGUGCAAGACGCAGAAAAGUUCAGCCCUGUUCAUUUUCAAUGGGAGGCAAGUCAAACGUCUCUCAAUGCGUUGUGAGAUAGCGGCGACACAGGACUGACCAGCUACACACAAAAAGAGAGUUGUUGGUCGAAAGUUGAAAAAUUUUAAUAAUAUAAAUAAAAUGGCAAAGGAA